UACGUAGGGGGCAAGCGUUGUCCGGAUUUAUUGGGCGUAAAGAGCGUGUAGGCGGCUUGGUAGGUCCGCUGUGAAAACUCGAGGCUCAACCUCGAGAUGUCGGCGGAAACCGCUUGGCUAGAGUCCGGAAGAGGAGAGUGGAAUUCCCGGUGUAGCGGUGAAAUGCGCAGAUAUCGGGAAGAACACCUAUGGCGAAGGCAGCUCUCUGGGCCGAUACUGACGCUGAGGAGCGAAAGCGUGGGGAGCGAACAGG
rnacentral:rRNA from 1 species